rnacentral:lncRNA from 1 species
CAGCAUUUGACUCAGAUCCUGGGCAGCUACACCCAGCAUAUCUCAGGUUCUCCAUCUGCAGAAGAAGGGACCAACUGGUCUGGUUCACACAGGUGUUGCAGAGGUUCAUCCUGUCCUGGAUUCAAACCACCAUAUCCAUAGAAGAUGGGAAUAUAAUCACCCUUGGCUCCUUAGCUAGUCAUGGGAGUGAGAAACCUUGCAAUCCCCUCUUAUAUUGUCAUGAUUUAAAUGUGUGCUGGACUCUAGUCAGCAGACCAAGGCAGAUGUCUACCUGGGACCUGAUAUGUCCUACUUGGAUUCAGCCUUGGAGCUCCAUCUCUUUCUAGGCUCUGCUGACUACCUUGACAAACCUCCAUGGACCAGAAAGAGAAAAGAGAUUCUCCUGAUAUUUAGCCAAGUAGAUGUAAAUGGCUGAAUUUAGCUGCCUGACACUGGAGCUGAAUCUUGCUCUACACACCCAGUAGAAGGAAAAAUGGCCCAAAUAAUCCUUAUGUUCUCUGUCAGACUACUGGCUGAGGGUCCUUGAAACAGCUGAACUCUGUGGUAUUUGAGCCCUCAGCUUUCCUCUUGUUCACCCUUUGUGGGUGCAUCCAGGCUGGGAUAAAAUUCUGUAAGCUGAACACUUGCUUACCUUCAGGGUGGGGAUGCCAGCACAUAGCCAAGUUGUGCUGCCUGUACCAGCCCGGAAAAACGGAGGGAAUUUGGAUUUGGACCCAGUUCCAACUGCUCUGUGAUGCAAAAAGUUGCCAUCUCCUCCAGAGCUGCCGUGAAGGGACAAUGGACGGGGAGGCUGCAGCCUGCCCUGCGUGUGCCCCCGGCCGACCUCGCACCGGGCACUCCACUCAUCUGACAAAAGGUAGCAUCGCCGUGUUGCCAUGGGAACGCCCCGCCGGCUGAAUGGCGACAGCAUCCUGCGAGGGAGGGGACACAUCCCAGCCGCACACCAGGGCUGCGCUGAAACGUAUCUUAUAUUUAGAACAGGCGGAUUGCAAAGGAAGGUGAGAACAGCUCUGGCUGGGGGAAGAGGUGCCCACCCAUGCGGGUGCAGCUCACAGCACUGCCAGCCUGGGGACUCCCAUCUCCAGAGAUGCCAGGAGGACGCAGCCUGGCACAGGCUGUGGGUUGUGCUGAUGGCUGGGUGCAUCCCCUCUGGGAUGGCACUUCCUCUUCAGUCUCCUCUUUACCUACAGAUGAAGUUAUAAACAAGGCAAAUCUGGACUCCAGCCCUUACAUCUUUGCCUUGGUAUCCUCCAGUCCUUGUGAAAACGAUGUGAGUUUUGGCCUUAAUAACAAGCCAUGUAAAAUCUACAUAAUUGACCCCUUUUCUGAAAAGAUUUCAAAGCUUUCUCUUUAAUCUUUGAAUAUGCAUGUGCAGAAGGGAUGCCCUCAUUUCAGCAGACCCCUGUUGCAUACAGCAGCCUUCUUGCUG